rnacentral:rRNA from 1 species
CCUACGGGUGGCAGCAGUCGAGAAUCAUUCACAAUGGGGGAAACCCUGAUGGUGCGACGCCGCGUGGGGGAAUGAAGGUCUUCGGAUUGUAAACCCCUGUCAUGUGGGAGCAAAUUAAAAAGAUAGUACCACAAGAGGAAGAGACGGCUAACUCUGUGCCAGCAGCCGCGGUAAUACAGAGGUCUCAAGCGUUGUUCGGAAUCACUGGGCGUAAAGCGUGCGUAGGCUGUUUCGUAAGUCGUGUGUGAAAGGCGCGGGCUCAACCCGCGGACGGAACAUGAUACUGCGAGACUAGAGUAAGGGAGGGGGAACCGGAAUUCUCGGUGGAGCAGUGAAAUGCGUAGAUAUCGAGAGGAACACUCGUGGCGAAGGCGGGUUCCUGGACAUUAACUGACGCUGAGGCACGAAGGCCAGGGGAGCGAAAGGGAUUAGAUACCCUUGUAGUC